CUGGAUUGUGUAGCAACGAGGGACUAUAUUCUCAGAUUGAGAUCAGAAUGACAAAGUUUCAACCAAAAUAUGCAAAUACUGUGGGAUAGCUGUUCUGGAAAAGUCCUGAAGUGCUUCAUACAUAGGAAGGGACAUCCUACAGUAUGUAUUAUCCACCACUGAAGUGCAGCACCCACCUGUGUGACACAUGGCAGCAAUUAUGUUCAGCAGCCCAACUAUG